rnacentral:rRNA from 1 species
AUUGAACGCUGGCGGCAGGCCUAACACAUGCAAGUCGAGCGGAUGAAGGGAGCUUGCUCCUGGAUUCAGCGGCGGACGGGUGAGUAAUGCCUAGGAAUCUGCCUGGUAGUGGGGGAUAACGUCCGGAAACGGGCGCUAAUACCGCAUACGUCCUGAGGGAGAAAGUGGGGGAUCUUCGGACCUCACGCUAUCAGAUGAGCCUAGGUCGGAUUAGCUAGUUGGUGGGGUAAAGGCCUACCAAGGCGACGAUCCGUAACUGGUCUGAGAGGAUGAUCAGUCACAAACGAGUAGAGACACGCUCCAUAAUACUACGGAUGGCCGUAGUGGGAAAGAGUCGACGAGGCGACAACGCCGGAUCACGCCAGGCCGCGUGUUUGAAGAAGGUUGUCGUAUGUUAAAGCACUUUAAUUUGGGAGAAAGGGCAGUAAGUUAGUACUUUGUUUGUUUCACGCACCCAACAGAAGAACCACCGGCUACCUUCGUGACAGCGGCGGCGAUAAUACG